AUAUUUUUUAAAAACUACAAUUGUUUUUGUUGAAUACAAAUAUUAAAUUUUAUUGUUCCAAAAAAUUUAAUUGUUGUUUUUACACCAAACUGAUUGGAACACAAGUACCUUAGAUUCAAUAAAAUAUUUUAUUGGCUAUUGACAUAAUCUGUUUUGCUUUCAAAAAAAGUUUUUUUGUUUCAAAAAAUCCUAAUAUUGAUACACAUACAUAUGCAUUAUAUGAGAGUGUAUGUGUAUGUUUUUUGCUAGUAUGUACGCACGGCCAGACGCCAUUUCCAUGAUUUGAAACAAAGAUAAAAUGGAUUCAACAGAAGAAGUACUGGCUAUGAAUGUUGAGGAAGUUAUUGACGCGCUGGUGGAUUUAUUGCUGAGUUUUGGACUCUCUGAAGAAUUUAUCAAUCGUACCCUGGAAAAUCAAUAUACCCUUGAAACCAUGCAAAUCCUGGAACGGAAGGAAAUUCAAGAAUUGAUGCAUGGAUUGUCCAGGUAUCUCCACCAUUAUCCACAGAUUGCCUUUCGACCGCAUCACCGGUGGUAAGAGAAAGUAAUUCCGAAGCCAUCACUCGUGAACGGUGCAUUGUUA